GGGGUUUGCAGCAACUUUGAAAGCACUAAUCCAAAGUUGGCGGCCGACGUUUGAUUUGACUGACUAAAACCCAGAUAUUCCGUUUGCCGACUGAGUUCCCACGGGCGAGCAGAUGCGCUUGCGGCCCCUGUUCAGGGUGGUUGAGCUGAGACAAGAGGCCCACUUCCUAACAACAAAGGCGUGCCUAGGACAGCCAGGGGCAGUAUCAGCGCUGGAGAGAGAAGCUUUCUGCCUGAUGCGGUCCAGAUGAAAGAAAAAUCUUUGAUGUUUUAAUGUGUUCUUUUAGUUUCAGCUAAUAUGUUUAUUUUUCUGCUGAUUAGGAGGCUUGCUUUCAAAAUCCCCAAAUUGUUCAAAAGGACCAAGAUCCUGUGUGACUCGCGCUGGCUUUGUCAGAGAUCUUAAGUCAUGCUGCCUUCCUGUCUCCGUGCUUCCAUUUUGGCAUGGGAGAGCAUUGCAAAAAGACAAACAUGGCUGCAUCUUUCCACCUUAGAGAUUCUCGCUGCCUUUGGCCCUGACUACUUUCUACAGGCACAGUUCUUGUUUGGAAGCGAGAGCCUUCUGAGAGUCAUAGGAUCCAUGUCUUCAUCCCCUCUUCUCCUUCAGCCCCCUGAAACUGACUUCUGCCAUCUCCGUUACUGGAAAAUGCUCUUAUCAUUCAAAAAUUAAAGAGAAGGCUGACUGCAAAUCCUGGGUUCACUAUCUGCCAAGCACGCGAUCCUUGACUGUUCCUGAGAAAACAAAGCCUUCUAUACAUUAACAGUUGAGAACUGAGACUGAAGGGCACAUCAGUAUGCUAAAAUCAGAGAAACCAUGGCCAAGAACGUAUCAGAUGCCCAGAGCAAGGGAAUGAUAUGGACACCUAAUACAGCCCAUGGCACAGCUUCUCACCAACCUAUCGUCUGAAACGUGGUUUGGACAGUGAGGAUUGAGAAUCCUGGACUGAGGGUAGGUCCCCUGCUACUGAUGCAGCCCAUUCAAUUGCCUAUCUGUCCACCUGUUCCCUUGUCUAUACCUGUUCCACAUCCUGCUCUGACUGGGUCCAGCCUUUUCACGACACAGCUGAAUUCUACAGCUUUGCUCUCAAGCCCGACUCCCACAGCUCUUCCAAUAGCAACACCACCAGCAGCUCCCUCCCAGCCGGGGCUGGCCCAGUGCCUUAUCUACACAGACGCUCUCAGGCGACUUCUGAAACCCUGCCAGCUUUGCUGCAUACUUUUGAAGCUUGUAGUCAGCGUUCUAGGCUGAUGCGCGGAUAGCUACCUGUAUUUACUGUGUGCUAAGUGAAGUGUGGUGUGAGAAUAUUUGUAAAUAAGAUUGGAAUGAAGAACUGUGUUUGCCUUGCCCAAGGUGCCAAGGUAUGCAGACUUUAGAGCAAAGUGCUAAACUUGUAAAUUUGUUGUUAUCCAAUAAAUUCUGACCUUGUGGAAA